UAGAAAUAGAGAGGCGACGAAAUGCAGAGAGGCUAUGAGGACACGGAGACAGAAGCAGAGAAAGACGAUGAAAUACAGAGAGGAUGAGGCUGCGACAUGGAGAAAGAAACAGAGAAAGAGGCAGAACGGUGAACACCGCAUCGAUUGGGCAUAAGAAAUAGAGAGAUAAAUCGUGUUUUGAAACUUUCUGAUUUCAUGCAGAGACGUUUUUCAUUCUAUUUUUUCCCCGAAAUAAGGAGGAAGGAAGAUGAAGCGGCCUUCAGCAUAAGCACAAAAAACCCCUUUCCCAGGAACUCUCGAUAUCAGACCAUUCUUUCUCGAAACUGGAGAGCGAAUGUCAGAGAGAAAUCCAGUCAGAAAUAGAAAGUGGAGAGCAGAAAAAACUAAGAAGAUAGUCACGCCUUUACCUCCAUCAGACCCGUACUCUCCACUGAUCUUCAUGGAUCAAUUUGUUGCUGUACCUCAACAAAAAAGUUAUCAUCCUCUGUUUCCAUUCGUUCAACAAGAAUGGGCAAAAGAAAAGGAAACUCUUCCCCUUUUCAUGCUUUGUUUGUUUCGUUUCUGCAACUCCGUAUACACAAGUUCUGCAUAACUUUGUUAAUUUUCCUGUUUCGGAUACUCUUUCUGUGUAGUUUACCAAAUUCAGCCCACUUUCUUUCCAUUUGCAUGUUCCUUUCCAGAAAAUUGAAAUUCGCAAACCAAUUUUGCCUCUUCAAAAUUUCCAAAAAUGCAUUUUUUUUUAUAUCUUUCAUUGAACAGAUAUUGAUCCUUGGCUUACCAUAGAAAAAAAAAAGGUUAUUAUGCCUUCUAGAAUAAUUGCUAGAGAGAGAGGGUCAGUGAGUUUUUUGGCUUAGUAGAGAGAGAAAAAUCUGAAGACCACUGUCACUGUCAGGCCAUUCUCCUGCCACUGUAUGACUUAAAAAAUUCAAUGAUGGGGUUAUUCGACAAUGAAUUGGGCCACAAUAGAUUUUAUUGGUAAGAUCAUAUACAUAUUCAAAUCCUGCAAUAUGUGUUUAGUUGUUUGCUGUUGUACCUAUGAUGUUACUAAAUUGGACCCGAUUUGAAUUUUUGGGUUUCUUUGACUGCAGAUAAAAAUUUGCACUGUUCACAUAUUUGUUUUUAUUGCAUUCCACAGAUAGUGUUGCACCUCAAUUUCAGAUGAAUAAGCAACAGUCCUCCAAGAACUUCUUAGGCAUUUCCUACCCAAACAUCAACCCAACUGUAUGUAAUUGAUGGUCUUUACGUUAAAAAUAUUGUUCUAAUGGUAAUGGUAACUACAUUUUAGUUACAUGCUUACAAACUGUUUGAUAAAAUUAUAAUGUUGCUUUUAUUCUAAAAUUUCAUUUUAUAUUGUUCAUUAUACUUUAGGCCAAAUUAGUUAAUUGCAAAAUGAUCAAAUGUAUGGGAAAGAGUCUUCCCUAGAAGAUUGUAGAGAGCCCUUUCAUCUCUAUGUGGCACACCACAUGGCAAAACCUAGAAUUUUCUAAAGCCAAAAAACUAAGGCAUUGAAUUGCUUUAGGCAGAGCAAAAAUUGACUAAAAGCCAAAAGCACUUUUGCUUUGUUCACAAAAUAAUCUAUGAUCCUCUUGCAACAAACCUUGCAUCUGACCUAAGAUGGUUUUAGAUUUCAAUCUACCCCAAAGAUUAAGUUUUCUUGACUUAAGGGAUUUCAGUUGUGAUUGGAGAUGUCUCUGUAAAUGAGAGUUUCAAUUUCAAAUGGUUUUUUUUUAUAUAUGGUUUGUCGUCUCUUGCAUUUUUCCCACUAGUGUUUGUAAUGUUUGAGUUGCUAUUGUAGUAAAUUACCUAUAACCAUUAUGUUUUAUUUUGUUGAAUUAUUAUAUACAAAAUAGAGCAUAAAAUAUUUCUUUAUGUUGUUCAAUUUAAGCUUGGUAUUUAUACACGUUCAAAAUUCGUAAUGGUUCAUUUAUAUAA